CAGGGCGUGGGCGGGGCGGGCCCGCAGCGCGCACCCAAGACUGGUGAGACGGUCGGGGAGGGCCUGGAGUGGCGGGGUUCUUGCCGUGUGGGCGUGGCGAGCGGGCGCCCCGGGCGUCCCACCCCGUCCCCGGCGCGCACCCAGGACUAGGGAGACGGGUGGCGUGUGGCUCCGGGGCCGCCCGCACAGGGCGGAUCCGGGCCUAGGCUUUGGCCGCGGGCGCCAGCCUCAGGUAACCGCGCCUCCCGCCCCCCACCCCACCCCGCCCGCAGCCGCCGCCGCCCUAUAUGUGGCCCGACGCAGCACCCGGGCCAUGGAGCACACCUGCCGUCGCCCACCAUGGAGCUGGCCGAGCGGUUCCUGCUGGACGCGCUCGCCUACCUGGAAUGCGCCCUGGGCGUCGUGUGCUACGUGCUGCUGAAGCUGGUGGGCUCGCCCUACGGGCGCUACGCGUCGUCCGGCUCUGCCUUCGGGCUGCCAGCGCGGGCCGCCUGGGCAGUGCAGGAGCUGCCCUCGCUGGCCCUGCCGCUCCUCGCGUGCGUGGGCGCAGGCGCGCCGGCCGAGCGCCUCAACCGCUGGCCCAACUGCAUCCUCCUGGCCAUGUUCCUCGUCCACUAUGCGCAACGGACCUUGGUUUUCCCAUUUCUGAUCCGAGGAGGGAAGCCCAUGCCGCUGUAUGCCUUCCUGUUGGCAUUCAUCUUCUGCACCUAUAACGGCUACCUGCAGAGCAGGUACCUGAGUCAGUACGCAGUGUACGCGGACGACUGGCUCAGCGACCCCCGGUUUCUAACAGGUUCUGCCUUAUGGUUGAUAGGCAUGCUGAUUAACAUCCACUCAGAUCAUGUCCUGAGGAACCUCAGGAAACCAGGGGAGACUGGCUAUAAAAUACCAAGAGGGGGCUUCUUUGAAUACAUAUCUGCAGCCAACUACUUCGGAGAAGUCGUGGAGUGGUGCGGCUAUGCCCUCGCCAGCUGGUCCAUUCAGGGCUGGGCUUUUGCUGUGUUCAGCUUCUGUGUCCUGUUCACCAGGGCUCAGCAACAUCACAACAGAAGCACAGAGCGUUGAGCAUUGGACUACUGGAAGACUCCUUGUAAGCAAGGCUCCAGCCUCUGGGAUCUGAUGCCUGAUGAUGUGAGGUGGCGCUGAUAUAAUAAUAAAAGAAUAAUAAAAGAAAAUAAAGUACACAAUGCAUAUAAUGUGCUUGAAGUAUCCUGCAACCAUUCCCCUGACCUGGUCUUUGGACAAACCAUCUUCCACGAAACCAGCCCCUAGUGCCAAAAAGGUGGUACCAUGAGAAAUUUGAAGAUUAUCCAAAAUUCAGAAAAAUCAUGAUUCCAUUUUUGGUUUAAGUUUGUCGUCAGUGGAAUUAUCUUUGACUUGAAGCUUUUCGAUGAUGUUUCUCUUGGGACCAUGUAAUGAACUGAUGUCUCUGUAAUUUUUCUGGUACUUCACUGUUUUAAGAUUUGCUCUAGGAUUUUUUUUCCCUAGCAAAUGUGUAAGCUGCCUAAUAACAGUCUAAUCAAACUGAAAUCACAGGCUGAAGUAUGAUGCUGGCCACCAACCAGGUCAGGAAUCUGAACUCCUCUGAUUUGGGGUCUGCUUCCAUGGAGUGGGGCUUGGUGGCUCAAAUGGGAAAGAAUCCGCCUGCAGUGCAGGAGACCUGGGUUCCGUCCGUGGGUUGGGAACAUCCCCUGGCCCAGGGCAUGGCAACCCACUCCAGUAUUCUUGGCUGGAGAAUCCCAUGGACAGAGGAGCCUGGAGGGCUACAGUCCAUGGGGUCGCAGAGAGUCGGACGCGACUGAGCGACUGAUACUUUCACUUUUCACUUUCACUUUCCAUGAACUGAAACAUUUCUGUACCCCUUACACAACCUCUACAGCAUGAGUUUAAGGUCAAAGGUGACAUCCGCCUUCCCACCACCGGAGGCAUGUUCUAUCUUCAUGUCCCUCGUCCCGCCAGAUCAGACAGUUCUGGGUACCCACGGUGUACCCACAGCCUCUCACAAUUGGGUGCUGGGCGGGCAGAGAAGUUGGGCCUGCAGAGGCCCAGUGGAGGCUGGUACCAAAGGCCUCUGGCACCUGCUCUGGCCUGAUCCACCAGGUGACCUCACUGGGAGGCAGGGGGCCAGGGGCAUUCUUCAGGAGCAGGCCGCUGUAUCCCCCCCAGGAGGACUUCUGGUGGCCCUCAGCUGACAGCAUGAAGGUACCCCGGGCCAGCCCUCCCAUCAUGUCCUUCACCAGGCGCUGCUGGCCUGGGAUGGAUUUCCUUCCUCCUUUGAGGGAGAACUAGAAUUUUUUCAGGCACUUUUUUUUUUUUAAUUUUCAAGAUUGCACACCUGCAACUUGAAGCAGAAUUUCUUAUUCUCGAUGCUCCUAACUCUACGGAGAUCAAUGGCAGUAAUAACAUUGACUAGGUAUUGCCAGAUAUGUCAAAGGAGCCUCCCCUUUGGAAGGCUGUUGAGUCUCUGCUGUGAAAAUGUAAUGAACAUGGCAAAGACCCCCUCCUCUCCUCUGUUGCUUCUGCAUUUGCAGAGCUGGGAACUGGAAUGGGGGUGAGUGGAGAGAGUUCCUGUUCGCUUAUGAUUGCUGACCAUGCUGAGUGACAGGGGACUCCAAGACGCACGAUGUGGUGUCUUAUGCAUUCUUCAGCUGCUGCCUCCUGGCAGGGAGCACGCCCUCUGGCCCCUGCUCUCCGGGCCCCUGGGCACCCCAUCGGAUCAGCCCCCCUCUCCCCUUCUCCUGGUUCACCUUCCCAAGCAGGGGCUCCCUCCGCAUGAGUUUUCAUGUAGAAACUGUAUUCUCGGUGUUAGUGGUUUGUUACAGUCUCUUGGGGUUUUCGAAAAGCUUUUCCUGAUGUGGUUGUCCUUCAUUUUAACUAAAACUGGAAUGCUUUUGCAGGGAACUUUUAUGAUCAGAUAAACUCUGUGCUUCAUUUUAACUAAAACUGGAACGUUCUUGCAGGGAAACUUUAUGAUCAAAUAAACUUUGAACCUUUUUCUGACUGAAUAACAACCUGAAACUAUGAAACAGUAAAUAUUUAGAGUGUCCUCUGGAAAACUCAGAAAUCUGAGCAAGCCUUAACUGAUUUGGGCCCUGGGUCCUGGAAGGCGUACCUGGCCAAGAAGAGGCUUGUCUGGGAGUCAGAGAGGCCUGCUGGGGAUUCUGUGUCUGUUGGUGCUCCUUUUUUGUGAUCCAGAAUUUGGAGUUCAGUGGGGAUUUGAUGCUCGGUCCCUGCUUCACUGGCAUGCACUGUUUGACACAGGAAGAGAUCUCAGUGUGUCUCGUCUGCCUGUCUUCCAAUUACUAGACACUGUAACGUAGCAAGUUAUGACAGUUCGUUAUUGUGUUCAAUAUAAAAAUAAAGGAGAUUAAUAAAAUUA